AUUGAACGCUGGCGGCAGGCCUAACACAUGCAAGUCGAACGAGUGGCGGACGGGUGAGUAAUGUCUGGGAAACUGCCUGAUGGAGGGGGAUCACUCCUGGAAACGGUAGCUAAUACCGCAUACCAUCAGAUGUGCCCAGAUGGGAUUAGCUUGUUGGUGGGGUAACGGCUCACCAAGGAGACGAUCCCUAGCUGGUCUUAGCGGAUGACCAGCCACAUGGGAACUGAGACAGGGUCCAUAAUCCGACGGGAGGCAGCAGUGGAGAAUAUUGCACAAUGGGCGCAAGCCUGAUGCAGCCAUGCCGCGUGUAUGAAGAAGGCCUUCGGGUUGUAAAGUACGUUCAGCGGGGAGGCGUUACCCGAAGAAGAAGCACCGGCUAACUCCGGGCCAGCCGCGGCGGUAAUAC
rnacentral:rRNA from 1 species